GAGGAAUGCGCCGCCUUCACCGCGGCACGAGCGACCCGUCCCGACCAGAGCGCCGUCGUGGCGCUGCCGACGGGCGUAGGGCCCUGGGGGUGACGGUCUGGAGGGGGUUUUGCCGUCGCUUCCUCACGUUUGGGGUUCGGUGGCGUAAACGACCUUCUGGCGACGUGACCGGCACCGUGCACGUGCCUCAUGCCGCCCGCAGUGCGCGUCGGGCCGGGUGGAUGAACGAAGCUGCCGCCGUGAGGAUUAAUUACUCACGCUGCCUGAAGUGCUGUGGAAGAAGCUCAGUCAUUGCAAUACUUGGGGUUUCAAUAUGACCGAGCGUAUCUGUUGGGAAAUGCUUCCAAUCGCUAGGUGAUGCCAUUCGAGAAAUCAAAAGCUACCGGGAGUAAGUGAUGGUUGUGCAAAUGUGCGGAUGCUUGGUUACUUCUUCAGCGGCGUCCACUAAUUUGGGGAUGUUUUCAUCUCUGGAUGCCCAGUUGGAGUUGGCUCAUCAGGGCUUAUGUUUGUACGUAAGCCUCUGGUGGAUGUCACACAUGGAAGCCGUGGCUUCUUCAGCCGUACCGGCACAGCCGGGCACGCAGGCAGCGGGAUCCCUGUGGUCUUGGCCUUGGAGAACUACCAGACUGUUUUCUUCAUGCCAAAACAUUGGGUGUCAGCCCUACCGCAUGGAAAAGCACCUUCAAAUACAGCCAGGAGACUGAGUUCAUAAGCAGCACAGUAACACACAGCCGUCACACGUGAGAAAUGGUUGGCUUUCCAGUGGUGAGCCGACGGCACGCAUGAGUUCACCGGCGAGGAACCAGAGGUAGACCCGAUGGCUUUGUCAGCUCCCUUGUGCUGCUCACCUCUGCCCUCAGCAGCACUGUGCUGUUCUGUGACUGGCCUGAGAGAGAAGACAAAGCGCCCUACGCUUUUCCAUCUCGAGUUGGUGGUGCAGUGGUACACGGUGCCCAAAGAGCUCUUUUCGUAACUCGUCGUCUUUCCGCCGGCUGUACAAGGAGCCGCUUCACUGGAUAAGAUUAAGUUUAUAGGACAUAAAAUCAGGCCAGCCUGUCCUUUGUGCCACGAGUUCUUAUUGUUUACUGGAUUCUGCACCGGGAACCAAGGUACGUACGUAAAGAACUGAAAUCUAGGAUCAGGAAGGACCGUCGCGUGUGUCAAAGAUGUCAUCAUUUCCAAGACAACCCCACGAAUUUAAAGCGAGGAGUUCAUGAACACGAUGCGUUACGCAUCAUCAUGUCUUCAUCACAUCUUCCAGAGGACGUGGAAGAAGACUAAGGGGCUUUUAGCCAUAAGUAUCAGCAUCUCAAAAGGCCUUUCUUUGCGUGUUUUAAAUUCUCAGUGACUGCUCUAUCUCAAAGAGGCUUCCUGUUACUUUGCAUGGUCUGCAGGACUGGGCGGGGGCUGUUGGUUAUUUUAGAGGCACCACAGAAAAUGUUCUUUGUUUAUAAGUUAAUAGACCCGCCUUAUUAAUCCUGCUUUUACAGUGCUUUCUGCAAAUGAAACCUGGAACAUGAGAAUCACAUCUUCACACUUUAACUGCCAGCCCCAGCAGUUAAAGUUUUAUGCAAAGCGAACUGUGAGCGUGUGGGCAGGGCAGUGCCCCCCAUGGAUUUGCUGGGUAUAACUGGGUGGUCCAAACCAGUGUGCUGCUUUGGGUGCAUGAGGAGCAGAGUCAGCAUCUGACCGAGUCCCAGAAGUCUGAAUGAACACACAAGACUGAUGGCUGCCCUACAAUCCUCUAACAGUGCCUUUGAAUGAUCCCAGUUCAGUUGGCACAGCUGUUGGCACAACAAGGCCAUUCCUGAGAAGGCACCGACAGACAGAUGGACGCUCUGCUUUGUGCUGCGUGGUUUUGCAGUGUCUCUGGGCAGCUGAUGGAGCAAGGGUUUCACUGCCUCUGCUGUGUUCUCACUAAGGCGUUGCGGCAGCCUGAACUCAUCUUCCCUCUUGGAUCAUGUGUGGUAUCCUCCAUUAGUAACACUUUGCUCUGACAGGCGUCCUGCUGUGCACUGCAGCAGUCAGGGGCUAAAUAAUUUAUUUGGGAAGCAAGUUUUGUGCAUGGCUUGAAAAAGGGAGGAGGACAGGAAUAUUGCAACAGUGAACCAUGGGGUGGAUUUCAGCGGUAGCCUUGGAGAAACACAUUGUGCCCUAUGGUCUCUGAGCAUUGCGCUUUGCCAUCCAUUGUUUCAAAAUUGCUUUCUCUCCCAUAAUUAUCUUUACAAGAGGAGGCGGAUCCAAAGCAUUUGUUUGUGCUUUUUUUGUUUUUUUUCUUUCAAGGUAGUCCAUUGAUUUCCAUUUCUAAUAAUAAGUGUGAAUAAGCAAAAGGAAAAAAAAAAAAAACACAGUAAUACGUUAGCUGGUAUUUAAAAUAGAGAGAACAGGUCUGUUUGCCACAGCACGCUCCGUAUGUGGACAUCAAAGUGUCUUACAGAGGUCAUAAUUCUCAUUUCAAAGAUGAGGAAGCAGAGGUGCAGGGGGAAGUGGCUGGCUUAGCCGGUCAGCGCCGGAGCUGGGCGAGAUCUCCAAACCUUCCCUCCCUUAAUCAGGAUGGUUCAGGUCCCAGGUGCAAUGAAGGCACCGUGACGCUGCAGGGAGAGCAGCAAACCACGCAGCCAGCAAAGCCUGGUUUCCUUCUGUUCUGUCCAAGGCUUCUGUGAUGUUGGCCUUCGAUGGUGCAGUCAUGAGGUGCCAGUGGCCUUUCCCUCACCAAGGGCACUGAUGGAGUGUGGCUCUCCAGCUUUGUUGUCCAUUUCCCCCAAAGUUUAAGGCACUUGAGAAUUUCUGAGCCUUUCUGUCAGGCAUGGUUGCUAUGAACCAGUGAGUCACAAAAAACGUGUGCUUGCAUGCAUACACCCAUGCAUGCACACACAGACCUAUAUCUUGGCAUUGCAACAUGAGGGA
rnacentral:lncRNA from 1 species